CAGGAUGAACGCUAGCUACAGGCUUAACACAUGCAAGUCGAGGGGCAGCAUUGGAGUAGCAAUACUCAGAUGGCGACCGGCGCACGGGUGAGUAACACGUAUCCAACCUGCCGCUUACUCGGGGAUAGCCUUUCGAAAGAAAGAUUAAUACCCGAUGGUAUAGAGAGUUCGCAUGUUCUCUUUAUUAAAGAAUUUCGGUAAGCGAUGGGGAUGCGUUCCAUUAGAUUGUUGGCGGGGUAACGGCCCACCAAGUCUACGAUGGAUAGGGGUUCUGAGAGGAAGGUCCCCCACAUUGGAACUGAGACACGGUCCAAACUCCUACGGGAGGCAGCAGUGAGGAAUAUUGGUCAAUGGACGAUAGUCUGAACCAGCCAAAAGUAGCGUGAAGGAUGACUGCCCUAUGGGUUGUAAACUUCUUUUAUAAGGGAAUAAAGUGAGGGACGUGUCCCUUUUUGUAUGUACCUUAUGAAUAAGGAUCGGCUAACUCCGUGCCAGCCGCCGC
rnacentral:rRNA from 1 species